CAAUAGCGUAUAUUUAAGUUGUUGCAGUUAAAAAGCUCGUAGUUGGAUUUCGGAUGGGACUUGCCGGUCCGUCGUUUCGAUGUGCACUGGCCAGUCCUAUCUUGUUGUCGGGGACUAGCUCCUGGGCUUCACUGUCCGGGACUAGGAGCUGACGAGGUUACUUUGAGUAAAUUAGAGUGUUCAAAGCAAGCCUACGCUCUGAAUACAUUAGCAUGGAAUAACACGAUAGGACUCUGGCUUAUCUUGUUGGUCUGUGAGACCAGAGUAAUGAUUAAGAGGGACAGUCGGGGGCAUUCGUAUUUCAUUGUCAGAGGUGAAAUUCUUGGAUUUAUGGAAGACGAACAUCUGCGAAAGCAUUUGCCAAGGAUGUUUUCAUUGA
rnacentral:rRNA from 1 species